rnacentral:rRNA from 1 species
UUUGAUCCUGGCGUCAGGAUGAACGCUAGCGGCAGGCCUAACACAUGCAAGUCGAGGGGCGAUCGGAUUGAAGCUUGCUUCAAUUGCCGGCGACCGGCGCACGGGUGCGUAACGCGUAUGUAACCUACCUAUAACAGGGGCAUAACACUGAGAAAUUGGUACUAAUUCCCCAUAAUAUUCGGAGAGGCAUCUCUCCGGGUUGAAAACUCCGGUGGUUAUAGAUGGACAUGCGUUGUAUUAGCUAGUUGGUGAGGUAACGGCUCACCAAGGCAACGAUACAUAGGGGGACUGAGAGGUUAACCCCCCACACUGGUACUGAGACACGGACCAGACUCCUACGGGAGGCAGCAGUGAGGAAUAUUGGUCAAUGGACGCAAGUCUGAACCAGCCAUGCCGCGUGCAGGAAGACGGCUCUAUGAGUUGUAAACUGCUUUUGUACGAGGGUAAACUCACCUACGUGUAGGUGACUGAAAGUAUCGUACGAAUAAGGAUCGGCUAACUCCGUG